UCGUAGGGCUUCGGCCCUGUCGAGAUAGAACCCUUGCCUUUUUGAGUACCUUUCGUUUCCUCGGCGGCUUCGGCCGCCAAUGGGGACCCCAAAAAACACUUUGUAGUACCUGUAACAGUCUGAACAAACAAACAAAAAUUA
rnacentral:misc_RNA from 1 species